GAAAUUCCGGGGCCCUGGUUUCUUGGCGCGAUGAGGUUCCGGUUCUGUGGUGAUCUGGACUGUCCCGACUGGGUCUUGGCAGAAAUCAGCACGCUGGCCAAGAUGUCCUCUGUGAAGUUGCGGCUGCUCUGCAGCCAGGUACUAAAGGAGCUGCUGGGACAGGGAAUUGAUUAUGAGAAGAUCCUGAAGCUCACGGCUGACGCCAAGUUUGGUGAGUACCUUGCUGAGUCUACAGGCCCCAGGCAACCCUGCGAACUUGGCCUGGUACCUGGUACAGAGGGGCCCCCUACCCCUCCCAGCAGCAUCCUUAACUUACCUUCCGUAGUGGAGGAGCAUGAGGGAAAGAAAGACUGACAGUCCCACCUUCUUGUCCUCUGCCAGCUCCUGGUGGAGCAGUAGCAGUGCCUGUGGCUCCAGGAGGCCUGGGGACUUUGAGCUGAAGUUAAUAGGGCAAAAGGGAGGUGGCUGGGCCCACAGUGACACCCCCUGUCCCAUAUACGGGUCCCUCAGAGUCAGGUGAUGUGAAGGCCACAGUGGCAGUGCUGAGUUUCAUCCUCUCCAGUGCGGCCAAGCACAGUGUCGAUGGCGAAUCCUUGUCCAGUGAACUGCAGCAGCUGGGGCUGCCCAAAGGUACGGGUUGUGGGUGGGCAGCUGGGCAGCCUGUGGGCCAAGGGCUGCUAGAGAGGGGGACGGACCCUGAGGUGUACCCUGCCCUGUUUGGGCCAGGAGCCCAAGCUCAGCUCCCACCUGCUACCUCCAGAGCUACUCCAUUCUACCCCCAGAGCACGCGGCCAGCCUGUGCCGCUGUUAUGAGGAGAAGCAAAGCCCCUUGCAGAAGCACUUGCGGAUCUGCAGCCUACGCAGUAAGUAUGAGGCCAGCCAGGGUCCGGGCUCAUUCUAGAAGGUGCACGCAGCACGC
rnacentral:sRNA from 1 species